AUUUAUAUAGUUUAAAAAUAAAACAUUACAUUUUCAAUGUAAAAUUAAAAAAAAUUUUUUAUAAAUA
rnacentral:tRNA from 1 species